rnacentral:rRNA from 1 species
GAGGGAAAGUUGCAAAGAACUUUGAAGAGAGAGUUCAAGAGGGCGUGAAACCGCUUAGAAGCAAACAGAUGGACCUGAUGGAUAGUCGGUAGGAUUCAGCCGGCUGCGCUACCUCAGCCCGGCCUCGGAGCGACUGUCCGAGUGUCGGUGCCUGGUGUGGCCAGUUGGUGCAUUUUCUGUCGAUGUGCACUGGGACUCGUGGGGGUGCUGGAGAUAAGGGAGGGAUUGCCGGCCGCCUCGGCGGUGUCCCGUCUCUCCUCUCAGACCGAGUUGCCCUCACGAGAGUUUAUUAUGUCGCCCGCCUAUGGACGCGGCCGGCGCGGUACCGGUUCAUUCAAUCGAAAUGUUGUUCCUUGCACGCAAGACUCUGCGCUGCUUGGGUGGGCCGGCCGUGCCGCCGAGUUUGGCGAUUUCCCGGUGAUUGCGUCAGUCACCCAUCUGACCCGUCUUGAAACACGGACCAAGGAGUCUAACAUGUGCGCGAGUCACUGGGUUGCAACACCCAAAGGCGCAAUGAAAGUGAAUUCUAGUUCGGCUGGAUGACGUGGGACCCUCUCCCCGACCGCGGGAGGGGUGCACCAUGGUCCCGUCUAUUCCGCAUCGUCGGAUGGGCGGAGAUAGAGCGUACGUGUUGGGACCCGAAAGAUGGUGAACUAUGCCUGAGCAGGAUGAAGCCAGAGGAAACUCUGGUGGAGGUCCAUAGCGAUUCUGACGUGCAAAUCGAUCGUCGGACUUGGGUAUAGGGGCGAAAGACUAAUCGAACCAUCUAGUAGCUG